CCUCAGAGAUGGGGUUUCCCUUCGGGGCUGGUUCACAGGUGGUGCAUGGUUGUCGUCAGCUCGUGUCGUGAGAUGUUGGGUUAAGUCCCGCAACGAGCGCAACCCUCGUUCCAUGUUGCCAGCGGGUUAUGCCGGGGACUCAUGGGAGACUGCCGGGGUCAACUCGGAGGAAGGUGGGGAUGACGUCAAAUCAUCAUGCCCCUUAUGUCUUGGGCUUCACGCAUGCUACAAUGGCCGGUACAAUGGGUUGCGAUACUGUGAGGUGGAGCUAAUCCCUAAAAGCCGGUCUCAGUUCGGAUUGGGGUCUGCAACUCGACCCCAUGAAGUCGGAGUCGCUAGUAAUCGCAGAUCAGCAACGCUGCGGUGAAUACGUUC
rnacentral:rRNA from 1 species